AAAAAAACAAACCCUAAACCUCCGUGUACAACGUUUAUCCAUCCGUCUUAUUUAAAAAAUUAUAAAAAACUAAAAAGACAAGUCACGUAUAAAGUAUUAAUCAUAUUUUAUCAUCUAACAACAAUAAAAAUAUUAAUUAUAAAAAAAUUUUAUAUAAGACGGAUAAUCAAAUAUUGGACACGAAAAUCCGGGGUUUGUCUUGUU
rfam:Oryza meridionalis cultivar OR44 (W2112) chromosome 2, whole genome shotgun sequence.